CCCUAUGUACCGCAGUCCCGAAUCUUCCAGAGUCGCUGUCCAUUUGGGAAGUGGUUCUUCAGAGACACCAGAGGGUGCAUAUGAGCCGUGAGGUGCAGUUGGGAAUCUACACAGAUGGAUUCAUUUUUCUCUAUCUCAGUCCUUUGCUAGCUGUGAUCUGUAUGCCUUCUCCCAUUUGUCAGUAAUCUUGUGCCUUUAUUUGUCCCUUGGCAGGCUCCCUCCCUGAACAUGGUGCACCAAACUGUGCAGUGGGAUCAGAGACGAAUCCACUGUGCUUCCCUCUAUCCCCAGGCCCGUGGUCUAGUGAGGGGGAGAGAAGAACCAAUGUGCCAGCAUCAGGGCUGUCUCUUCUGCUUACUCUCUGCUGCUGGAAUGGGGUAGCAAAUGAGCUGCCAUAGCUCUACCUGCCCCUACCACCCCACCGUCUCCCAGGACAAGCGACUCUGUAACACCCAGGCUCAGAAAAGACCUUCCUGCAUUAGUAAAUGAGGAUUCUCUGGAGAUGAACAGAAAUGCAGAUCCAGAAAUUCAAGCCUCGGGUAUGAGCAAGGCGAUGAUGCUUCUGGAGUCUGGGGAGGAUCUCUCCUAUCCCUUCCGGUUCCCAGGGCUCCAGGCAUUCCUUGGUGUGUGCCAGGGUGCCCUGGGCCACUCGUGUGUU